CCUACGGGCGGCUGCAGUGAGGAAUAUUGGUCAAUGGACGCAAGUCUGAACCAGCCCUGCCGCGUGCAGGUUGACGGCUCUAUGAGUUGUCAACUGCUUUUGUACGAGGGUAAACCCCGAUUCGUGUAUCGGGUUGCAAGUAUCGUACGAAUAAGGAACGGCUAACUCCGUGCCAGCAGCCGCGGUACUACGGAGGAUCCGAGCGUUAUCCGGAUUGAUUGGGUUUAAAGGGUGCGUAGGCGGUUUGAUAAGUUAGAGGUGAAAUGUCGGGGCGCAACCCAGAAACUGCCUCUAAUACUGUUGGACUAGAGAAUAGUUGCGGUAGGCGGAAUGUAUGGUGUAGCGGUGAAAUGCUUAGAGAUCAUACAGAACACCGAUUGCGAAGGCAGCUUACCAAACUAUAUCUGACGUUGAGGCACGAAAGCGUGGGUAGCAAACAGGAUUAGAUAGUC
rnacentral:rRNA from 1 species